GGGCCCGCACAAGCGGUGGAGUAUGUGGUUUAAUUCGAUGCAACGCGAAGAACCUUACCAGGGUUUGACAUCCUGCGAAUCUCUUGGAAACAGGAGAGUGCCUUCGGGAACGCAGUGACAGGUGGUGCAUGGCUGUCGUCAGCUCGUGUCGUGAGAUGUUGGGUUAAGUCCCGCAACGAGCGCAACCCACGUCUUUAGUUGCCAGCAGUUCGGCUGGGCACUCUAUGGAAACUGCCCGUGAUAAGCGGGAGGAAGGUGUGGAUGACGUCAAGUCCUCAUGGCCCUUACGGGUUGGGCUACACACGUGCUACAAUGGUAGUGACAAUGGGUUAAUCCCAAAAUGCUAUC
rnacentral:rRNA from 1 species